rnacentral:rRNA from 1 species
AGACACCGGCGUAAAGUGUGGUUAAGAAACAUUCAGUAAACUAGAGCCGAACGCUUUCAAGGCUGUUAUACGCACCCGAAAGUAAGAAGCACAACAACGAAAGUGGCUCUACUAACUCUGAACCCACGAAAGCUAAGGCACAAACUGGGAUUAGAUACCCCACUAUGCCUAGCCUUAAACAUUGACGGCUUAUUACCUAAACCGUCCGCCAGGGUACUACGAGCAUUAGCUUAAAACCCAAAGGACUUGGCGGUGCUUUAGAUCCACCUAGAGGAGCCUGUUCUAGAACCGAUAACCCCCGUUCAACCUCACCCUCCCUUGUUCAACCCGCCUAUAUACCACCGUCGUCAGCUUAUCCUGUGAAGGAUAAAUAAUAAGCAAAAUUGGUAAAACCCAAAACGUCAGGUCGAGGUGUAGCGUACGGAAGGGGAAGCAAUGGGCUACAUUACCUACCUCAGGUAAUCACGGACGAUAUAUUGAAAGACAUAUCUAAAGGAGGAUUUAGUAGUAAGAGAAGAAUAGAGAGCUUCCCUGAAACUGGCCCUGAAGCGCGCACACACCGCCCGUCACUCUCCCCAAGCUAUUCUAAUCCUAUAACUAAUUCACUAAUCCUGCU